rnacentral:siRNA from 1 species
AGGUGAGGAAUCUAUUGCACUGG